rnacentral:rRNA from 1 species
CUCUGUGACUCCUACGGGAGGCAGCAUGGGGAAUAUUGCACAAUGGGCGCAAGCCUGAUGCAGCCAUGCCGCGUGUAUGAAGAAGGCCUUCGGGUUGUAAAGUACUUUCAGCAGUGAGGAAGGCGGGUACGUUAAUAGCCGUGCUCGUUUGACGUUAGCUGCAGAAGAAGCACCGGCUAACUCCGUGCCAGCAGCCGCGGUAAUACGGAGGGUGCGAGCGUUAAUCGGAAUUACUGGGCGUAAAAGCGCAUGCACGGUGGUUUGUUAAGUCAGAUGUGAAAAGCCCGGGCUCAAACCUCGGAAUUGCAUUUGAAAACUGGCAGACUAGAGUACUGUAGGAGGGGGUAGAAUUUCAGGUGUAGCGGUGAAAAUGCGUAGAGAUCUGAAGGAAUACCGGUGGCGAAGGCCGGCCCCUGGACAGAUACUGACACUCAGAUCGACGAAAGCGUGGGGAGCAAACAGGAUUAGAUACCCUGGUAG